AUACGUAGGGGGCGAGCGUUGUCCGGAAUGAUUGGGCGUAAAGGGCGCGUAGGCGGCCCGGUAAGUCUGGAGUGAAAGUCCUGUUUUUAAGAUGGGAAUUGCUUUGGAUACUGUCGGGCUUGAGUGCAGGAGAGGUAAGUGGAAUUCCCAGUGUAGCGGUGAAAUGCGUAGAGAUUGGGAGGAACACCAGUGGCGAAGGCGACUUACUGGACUGUAACUGACGCUGAGGCGCGAAAGUGUGGGGAGCAAACAGGAUUAGAUACCCUGGUAGUCCACACUGUAAACGAUGAAUGCUAGGCGUAGGGGGUAUCGACCCCUUCUGUGCCGCGGUCAACACAAUAAGCAUUCCGCCUGGGGAGUACGGCCGCAAGGUUGAAACUCAAAUGAAUUGGCGGGG
rnacentral:rRNA from 1 species